rnacentral:rRNA from 1 species
UACGGGGGGAGCAAGCGUUGUUCGGAUUUACUGGGCGUAAAGGGCUCGUAGGCGGCCAACUAAGUCAGACGUGAAAUCCCUCGGCUUAACCGGGGAACUGCGUCUGAUACUGGAUGGCUUGAGGUUGGGAGAGGGAUGCGGAAUUCCAGGUGUAGCGGUGAAAUGCGUAGAUAUCUGGAGGAACACCGGUGGCGAAGGCGGCAUCCUGGACCAAUUCUGACGCUGAGGAGCGAAAGCCAGGGGGAGCAAACGGG